rnacentral:misc_RNA from 1 species
GUGAAUCAUCAAAUUUUUGAACGCAAAUUGCACUCUCUGGCAUUCCGGCGAGUAUGCCUGUUUGGGGGUCAGUUUAAAUAAAAAUCGAGGGGUUGCUGUUUUGUGACCCAUCGGAAUUGGGUUAUCACUGACCUUUUAAAAAGUUUAAGUGACCUAAAAUUGAUACAUUGUGCAUCUCAGACGUACAUAAGAAUAUUUUUUUAUCCGUCGGGAGUUCCCACUAUUUUAUUAGUUAUGACCAUGAUGUUGGAGGCUUCG